AGUUUUUGAGGAAAAUGGAAGGAAAAUGGGAACAAUAUCAAGAAACACGAAUGCCAGUUCAGGAUUUGCACAAAUGAAAGCUUCUUGUAGUUCAUGGAUAAAACAAGUUAGAUACAUACCUACCCAGGGAGUUGAAAAAUUGAAGGAGACAAGCGGAGAACAGAAAUUAAAAAACAGCUAGUUGACGUCAGAAAACCGAUUUGAGAUUACGAGUGAGUCGUCAGUACUUCAAGAAAAAAGUUCCUGCCCUACAAGCAGUUCUCAAUUCAUUGGAAAGAAAAAUUCAAGAUGAAAGCUUGGAAAGCCGAGGCAAAUACCUAAUGAAAAAUUUCUUCGAAGACAGCUGCAUGCAUAAAAUACAUAAAUAUGGCAAUGGCCUUGAACAGUUAAAAAUUAUUGAGUUAAAGCUCACAGUUUCGUAAAAUAACUCUUUAUUAUUAUGCACUUCAACACCAAAAAGCACUUUUGAGGUGUUAUAAAAAUUUGAAGGGGGAAGCAGGUUGAUGAACUAGGUAUUUAAGUUGCUGAAAAACACUGCUCUUUAGUUUAUAUGCAAUAUAACUUAAUUCAAUUUAAAACUGCCCAUAAAAAAAAUAUUGAUGCUUCAUCUAGGAUUGAGGGAUUCUUUUAUGAGUUACUGUAUACAAUAAGAAAUCAUUUCCUAUUUCACCAAUGAUUGGUUCAUGUUUGCAGUAUUACAUUACUGUCUCAUUCCGCAAAAUCUGUACGGAAGACUUGAGGAUUUCUCCAAUGAACAAACUCUUUCAGAUUCUCAUUAUACAAAUUCCAUAAACUUCAGCUGCUUCCACUUCUAUUGAUUUGAGAAUUAACCCUUCUGAAGGGAAUUUCUUUCAUGAAAGUAAUUUUUGAUUUUCAGUUUAUACUAAGUGAAUAAAAUUUCAAAUAAUCUGUAUGUAGGUUAGGGUCAUACUGGCUAUUUGUGUAUGGUAACGUUGUAUUCAAAAUAAAUUCUUUUUUACA